rnacentral:rRNA from 1 species
AACGAACGCUGGCGGCAGGCUUAACACAUGCAAGUCGAGCGAUGAAACACCUUCGGGUGCGGAUUAGCGGCGAACGGGGGAGGAACACGUGAGGAAUCUGCCUUCCACUCUGGGAUAACUCCGGGAAACCGGGGCUAAUACCGGAUACUUUCAACUGGCGGCAUCGCCGGUUGAAGAAAGUUUUUCGGUGGAAGAUGACCUCGCGGCCUAUCAGCUUGUUGGUGAGGUAAAGGCUCGCCAAGGCGACGACGGGUAGCCGGCCUGAGAGGGCGACCGGCCACACUGGGACUGAGACACGGCCCAGACUCCUACGGGAGGCAGCAGUGGGGAAUAUUGGACAAUGGGGGCAACCCUGAUCCAACCAUGCCGCGUGAGUGAUGAAGGCCUUAGGGUUGUAAAGCUCUUUUACCCGGGACGAUAAUGACUGUACCGGGAGAAUAAGCCCCGGCUAACUACGUGCCAGCAGCCGCGGUAA